rnacentral:rRNA from 1 species
UACGUAGGGGGCAAGCGUUGUCCGGAAUCAUUGGGCGUAAAGAGCGCGUAGGCGGUCCGGUAAGUCGGCUGUGAAAGUCAAGGGCUCAACCCUUGAAAGCCGGCCGAUACUGUCGGACUAGAGUCCGGAAGAGGCGAGUGGAAUUCCCGGUGUAGCGGUGAAAUGCGCAGAUAUCAGGAAGAACACCCGUGGCGAAGGCGGCGCUCUGGGACGGUACUGACGCUGAGACGCGAAAGCGUGGGGAGCGAACAGG